ACACUGACGUCGCGACGCAUAUCAAUAAGCGGAGGAAAAGAAACUAACAAGGAUUCCCUUAGUAACGGCGAGUGAAGCGGGAAGAGCUCAAAUUUGAAAUCUUCAAGGUUCUACCUUGACGAAUUGUAGUUUAAAGAAGUGUUUUCUGUUAGAUGAGUAGCAAAAGUUCCUUGGAAUAGGGACAUCAUAGAGGGUGAGAAUCCCGUAUUUGGUCAUUCCUUCUAGCUUUGUGAUACACUUUCAAAGAGUCGGAUUGUUUGGGAAUGCAGUCCAAAAUGGGUGGUAAAUUUCAUCUAAAGCUAAAUAUUGGCGAGAGACCGAUAGCGAACAAGUACCGUGAGGGAAAGAUGAAAAGAACUUUGAAAAGAGAGUUAAACAGUACGUGAAAUUGUCAAAAGGGAAGCGUUUGACACCAGUGUUGUUUUUCCGAAAAUCAAUUACGAAUGGCUUGAUUUUGUGUUGUAUUGACCUUAUCAGCUUUCUGCACUUUUUUCGAGUCUUUCUUAAUGCACUUUUCGGUUAACAAGUCAACAUCAAUUUCUUUUGUUGUAAAAGAGUAUUCGGAAGGUGGCUUUCUUUUCGGAGAAAGUGUUUAUAGCCCUAUACUUCUACAAUCGGAGAGAUUGAGGUCUGCAGCGUAGAUCCUUCGGGGUUAGAUACACUUUGUGCUAAGUUGUAGCUUUUCAUAGACAACUUGUUGACUAUGUUUAGUCAUUGUAGGCUUACUCGCUUGUGCUAUUUUACCUACGCUUAGGAUGUGAGUCGUAGAGCACGCAG
rnacentral:rRNA from 1 species